rnacentral:rRNA from 1 species
UACGUAGGGGGCAAGCGUUGUCCGGAAUUAUUGGGCGUAAAGCGCGCGCAGGCGGUCGACCUAGUCGGGUGGUUAAGCUCGGGGCUCAACCCCGAGUCACACCGGAAACUGGUGGACUUGAGUGCAGAAGAGGAGAGUGGAAUUCCACGUGUAGCGGUGAAAUGCGUAGAGAUGUGGAGGAACACCAGUGGCGAAGGCGACUCUCUGGCCUGUAACUGACGCUGAGGCGCGAAAGCGUGGGGAGCAAACAGG